AACGCGAAGAACCUUACCCAGGCUUGAACAGCGAGUGACCAUUCACGAAAGUGGACUUCCGCAAGGACACUCGUAGAGGUGCUGCAUGGCUGUCGUCAGCUCGUGUCGUGAGAUGUUGGGUUAAGUCCCGCAACGAGCGCAACCCUUGUUUGCUGUUGCCAUCAGGUAAAGCUGGGCACUCUGCAAAGACUGCCGGUGAUAAACCGGAGGAAGGUGGGGAUGACGUCAAGUCAGCAUGGCCUUUAUGUUUGGGGCUACACACGUGCUACAAUGGCCGAUACAAACCGUCGCGAGCCCGCAAGGGGGAGCUAAUCGGAGAAAGUCGGUCUCAGUUCGGAUUGUAGGCUGCAACUCGCCUGCAUGAAGUUGGAAUCGCUAGUAAUCGCGGAUCAGCACGCCGCGGUGAAUACGUUCCCGGGCCUUGUACACACCGUACGUC
rnacentral:rRNA from 1 species